rnacentral:rRNA from 1 species
UACGGGGGGAGCAAGCGUUGUUCGGAUUUACUGGGCGUAAAGGGCGCGUAGGCGGCCACCGCAAGUCGACUGUGAAAUCUCCGGGCUUAACCCGGAAAGGUCAGCCGAUACUGUCGGACUAGAGUACAGAAGGGGCAACUGGAAUUCUCGGUGUAGCGGUGAAAUGCGUAGAUAUCGAGAGGAACACCUGCGGCGAAGGCGGGUUGCUGGGCUGACACUGACGCUGAGGCGCGAAAGCUAGGGGAGCGAACGGG